AUUAAGAUCAUUUUUUAUAUGGAAUUCAAUAUAUAAAUCUGUAUCUUCUCUUAUGGUUUUUUUGGUUUAUGCUUUCAUCACUCGAUAGAAGAUAUUAUUUGAAUAAGGCACAAGUGUGUGGUUACAGAGACCUUGAACUUCACUGAUGAUGUGAGCACAAGAUGAUCUACACCAGUCGCUCUUUGGCAGUGUCUGACCUGCACCUCAGCAAUCUCAUGCAGGAUGGACACUUUCUGAAGACAGCUAAUGAAUUGGUGGUCUACAUUAACAUUAUGACAAUACAACUCAUUCCAAGAUAAAAUCAUA